rnacentral:misc_RNA from 1 species
UCUAGGGCAGUGUACCAA